rnacentral:lncRNA from 1 species
ACAUUGUCUACUUGACUACUAACCAUGCUUCUCUUGUUAGGGCUGUGGGGGUGGUAACUUCGACAGGAGCCAGAGUCCAGGAGACAUGAGAGAACUCCUUCUGUCCCAUGUAGGUGAAUUAUCACCACCGGGUCCCGGGGUUCACCAUCUCAACUCAACUGGAAACCAGACUGUUUGUGUAUAGCUCAAUGCCCCCCCCCCCCACACACACACACAGAGUUACCUCAGAGAAAUCCAAUCUAAUGGGUUAGAAGAAAUGAAAAUAGUCUGUAGAAAGGAGUUAGUUGGUUGAAAAAAACCUUAAAAGCAUUGUCAAAGACUAUCCUGUUAGCCAUGUUUAGAUAUAAUUGCACCUUUUAAAGCAUCCAAGACAAAAAAUAUCUUUCGAUCUUGUCUGAUGGGAAAAGAAGUGUCAAAGCCUUUGGAGAACAGAAAACUACAGAGGUUUUUUUUUGGGGGGGUCAUUUGCUGCUGACCCUAAAAUUCAUACCAGUGAUGAAUAACUGGGACUAUUUUGUUAUCUGCACUGUUUUUGAAGUAUGGAGUGUUAACAGACGUCAAUGGUCUCUCCUGCAAUUGACCUUUCAGUCUCCCUCCUCAUACCACUCCACAAACACUCACAGAGCUGAUCAUGGGAACUCAGCCUGUGCCAAGGUUAGAAAACUAUUGUUUCAUUUGCAACAGCAUUAAUAACUGUUCAUCCCUUCAUCCCUUCUUUUCAGCUGCCUUCCCUCCUUCUCCACUUCUUCUUCCUCCUCCUCUUCUUCCUUUCCUUCCUUUUUCCCCCUGAUAUUGGGGGUUGAUCCCAGGCCAUGCCAAGCAAGUGCUAUACUACUGUACUUUAUCUGUAGCCUUUUAAGUUUUUCCAUUUAAACUAGCUCUCCCUAUGUUUCUGUGGUUGACAUUGAACUGCCGUGUCACUAAAACAUGAAUUCAACUUGCUUUCCUUCUUCUUUCAGCCUCCUUAGCAGCUGAAUUACAGGCAUAUGCCACCAAGCCUGGCUACCCUUUAUUACUUCUCAUUCUUAAAACAUAUGGCUUCAGGAUGAAUUUGUACUUGACACCAUUGGAUGUAUGCUUAUUUAUCCUAGAUAUGCCUUCUGGCUCAUUCAAAAUAUGAACAUGUUCAGUAUGACAGAUCUUCAAAUAUUUAAAGACUACCAUUACGUGUCAUUGAAUAGUUUGUUCCUCAAUGUAAAUAUCACCAAGUUCUUCAAGCAGUUCUCAAAUUAUAAAGAUUUUCAUUACUUCAAUCCUCCUGGCUGUUCUUCUCAAGGACAUAUCCCAGAAUAGUAAUAAUCUUUAUGAGGUUUGUUUCUGAAUGACUUACUAUGUUUUCAGGUGUGUUUGCUAGAGUAUAUAUACAUUGGGACUUUUGUUCUUCUUGACACAGACAUGAAAUUACUUUUUAAAAACCUAAGAAAACAUCAUUGAGUGCACAUAUUUGCCUAGAAAGUGUUCAUUUUUAAAGAAGAAUAUGGUUAAUGUGACAAUACCUUUUAUGUUGCCCUGCUAAUUAACCUAAUUAUAGCCUCCUGAGUUCUGAACAAAAUGGCAGACUUCCUUUGUCAGCAGGGCUUCUUCUCUCACCUUUUAUGGGGAAUUCACUCCCCCCACCACCACCACCACCACACACACACAAACACCUUUACCAGGGGAAGGUCCUGUAGCCUUGGGAGAUUUGCAGGCUCAUCUUUCUUUAUCCUGAUAAUAAACUUAUCAGCAAGCAGCUGAAAUUCCUGGAAUGCCUCCUCAUGUUAAUGAGGCCUCUCAGAACCUUCUCCUGCAGCCAGCAACCUUUGCCCACACUGGAUAAUCCUAACUCCUAAUGUCAAAGCUAUACUACCAUUCAUUCACAUUGAGUAAAGUUUAUCUGUCUCCCUGAAGCUCUCAGUAUGUACUCAUGGGGAUCCUGAAACCUUGUUCCUUUACAUACUUUGUCUUCUUAAUUGGUGAAUGACACUAGGAAGAAGAGAGACCCACAAUUUUAUAUCUGUGUUUGUGUGUGUGUGUGUGUGUGUGUGUGUGUGUGUGUAUUUCUUUCUGUAGCUCCAAUACUAGCGAAUAGGCCACCUUUCUACAUACAGGCAAAACACCAAUGCACAUAAAAUAAAAAUAAAUAAAUCUUAAAAAGAAAGU